UACAGAGGUCCCGAGCGUUGUUCGGAUUCACUGGGCGUAAAGGGUGCGUAGGCGGUUCUGAAAGUCUGAUGUGGAAUCUCCAGGCCCAACCUGGAAACUGCAUUAGAAACUACAGGGCUAGAGGCUUGGAGGGGGAACUGGAAUUCUCGGUGUAGCAGUGAAAUGCGUAGAGAUCGAGAGGAACACCAGUGGCGAAGGCGAGUUCCUGGACAAGUCCUGACGCUGAGGCACGAAAGCCAGGGGAGCAAACAGG
rnacentral:rRNA from 1 species